rnacentral:misc_RNA from 1 species
GAUGAAGAACGUAGUGAAAUGCGAUAAGUAAUGCGAAUUGCAGAAUUUCCGUGAGUCAUCGAAUCUUUGAACGCACAUUGCGCCCGCCAGUAUUCUGGCGGGCAUGCCUGUUCGAGCGUCAUUUCAACCCUCAAGCCCUCGGGUUUGGUGUUGGGGAUCGGCGAGCCUUUCUGGCAAGCCGGCCCCGAAAUCUAGUGGCGGUCUCGCUGCAGCCUCCAUUGCGUAGUAGUAAAACCCUCGCAACUGGAACGCGGCGCGGCCAAGCCGUUAAACCCCCAACUUCUGAAUGUUGACCUCGGAUCAGGUAGGAAUACCCGCUGAACUUAAGCAUAUCAAUAAGCGGAGGA